rnacentral:rRNA from 1 species
CCUACGGGGGGCAGCAGUAGGGAAUAUUGGGCAAUGGGCGCAAGCCUGACCCAGCCAUGCCGCGUGCAGGAAGACGGCCUUCUGGGUUGUAAACUGCUUUUGAAUGGGAACAAAAGUCCCUUGCGAGGGGUAAUGAGUGUACCAUUAGAAUAAGCACCGGCUAACUCCGUGCCAGCAGCCGCGGUAAUACGGAGGGUGCAAGCGUUGUCCGGAUUUAUUGGGUUUAAAGGGUGCGUAGGCGGUUUAUUAAGUCAGUGGUGAAAGGCUGCAGCUCAACUGUAGCAUUGCCAUUGAUACUGAUAAACUUGAGUACAGACGAGGUAGGCGGAAUUGAUAGUGUAGCGGUGAAAUGCAUAGAUACUAUCAAGAACACCGAUUGCGAAGGCAGCUUACUAGGCUGUAACUGACGCUGAGGCACGAAAGCGUGGGGAGCAAACAG